rnacentral:rRNA from 1 species
GUCUAUGGCCAUGCUACCCUGAACAAGCCCGAUCCCAUCUGAUCUCAGAAGCUAAGCAGGGUUGGGCCUGGUUAGUACUUGGAUGGGAGACCACCUAGGAAGAUGAGGUGCCGUAGGUA